ACGAGUGGCGGACGGGUGAGUAACACGUAGGUAACCUGCCCAGAAGCGGGGGACAACAUUUGGAAACAGAUGCUAAUACCGCAUAACAGCGUUGUUCGCAUGAACAACGCUUAAAAGAUGGCUUCUCGCUAUCACUUCUGGAUGGACCUGCGGUGCAUUAGCUUGUUGGUGGGGUAACGGCCUACCAAGGCGAUGAUGCAUAGCCGAGUUGAGAGACUGAUCGGCCACAAUGGGACUGAGACACGGCCCAUACUCCUACGGGAGGCAGCAGUAGGGAAUCUUCCACAAUGGGCGCAAGCCUGAUGGAGCAACACCGCGUGAGUGAAGAAGGGUUUCGGCUCGUAAAGCUCUGUUGUUAAAGAAGAACACGUAUGAGAGUAACUGUUCAUACGUUGACGGUAUUUAACCAGAAAGUCACGGCUAACUACGUGCCAGCAGCCGCGGUAAUACGUAGGUGGCAAGCGUUAUCCGGAUUUAUUGGGCGUAAAGAGAGUGCAGGCGGUUUUCUAAGUCUGAUGUGAAAGCCUUCGGCUUAACCGGAGAAGUGCAUCGGAAACUGGAUAACUUGAGUGCAGAAGAGGGUAGUGGAACUCCAUGUGUAGCGGUGGAAUGCGUAGAUAUAUGGAAGAACACCAGUGGCGAAGGCGGCUACCUGGUCUGCAACUGACGCUGAGACUCGAAAGCAUGGGUAGCGAACAGGAUUAGAUACCCUGGUAGUCCAUGCCGUAAACGAUGAGUGCUAGGUGUUGGAGGGUUUCCGCCCUUCAGUGCCGGAGCUAACGCAUUAAGCACUCCGCCUGGGGAGUACGACCGCAAGGUUGAAACUCAAAGGAAUUGACGGGGGCCCGCACAAGCGGUGGAGCAUGUGGUUUAAUUCGAAGCUACGCGAAGAACCUUACCAGGUCUUGACAUCUUGCGCCAACCCUAGAGAUAGGGCGUUUCCUUCGGGAACGCAAUGACAGGUGGUGCAUGGUCGUCGUCAGCUCGUGUCGUGAGAUGUUGGGUUAAGUCCCGCAACGAGCGCAACCCUUGUUACUAGUUGCCAGCAUUAAGUUGGGCACUCUAGUGAGACUGCCGGUGACAAACCGGAGGAAGGUGGGGACGACGUCAGAUCAUCAUGCCCCUUAUGACCUGGGCUACACACGUGCUACAAUGGACGGUACAACGAGUCGCGAACUCGCGAGGGCAAGCAAAUCUCUUAAAACCGUUCUCAGUUCGGACUGCAGGCUGCAACUCGCCUGCACGAAGUCGGAAUCGCUAGUAAUCGCGGAUCAGCAUGCCGCGGUGAAUACGUUCCCGGGCCUUGUACACACCGCCCGUCACACCAUGAGAGUUUGUAACACCCAAAGUCGGUGGGGUAACCUUUUAGGAGCCAGCCGCCUAA
rnacentral:rRNA from 1 species